AUUGAACGCUGGCGGCAUGCUUUACACAUGCAAGUCGAACGGUAACAGGGUGCUUGCACCGCUGACGAGUGGCGAACGGGUGAGUAAUGCGUCGGAACGUGCCGAGUAGUGGGGGAUAACGCAGCGAAAGUUGUGCUAAUACAGCAUACGUACUGAGGUAGAAAGUGGGGGACCUUCGGGCCUCACGCUAUUCGAGCGGCCGACGUCUGAUUAGCUAGUAGGUGAGGUAAAGGCUCACCCAGGCGACGAUCAGUAGCGGGUCUGAGAGGAUGAUCCGCCACACUGGGACUGAGACACGGCCCAGACUCCUACGGGAGGCAGCAGUGGGGAAUUUUGGACAAUGGGCGAAAGCCUGAUCCAGCCAUGCCGCGUGUCUGAAGUAGGCCUUCGGGUUGUAAAGGACUUUUGUCAGGGAGGAAAUCCCUAGUGCUAAUAACACUGGGGGAUGACAGUACCUGAAGAAUAAGCACCGGCUAACUACGUGCCAGCAGCCGCCGUAA
rnacentral:rRNA from 1 species